CCAAGAAUGAUCAGAUGAUGACCCAAAGCCAAGUUAUGUGUACACAAUCAUCAGCUGGGUCGCAAUUUAGUAUGGAUGAUGACUUGCUAUCUAAUCCGUUAAUCAUGCCACUAUCUGAUAUUCUGUAGCUUGAACAAAUUUCUUAUGUUGUAACUGUUGCAAAAAUAGAGAAGGUGAAUUCAACUAAAUUUGGUUGGUACUACUUGGCUUGCUACAAGUGUGGUAAGAUUGCUAAGGGUGACAACCCUCCAUACACUUGUGAGAAAGGCCACAAUACUGAGACAGAAAUUGUUAGGCACAAACUUGAGCUAGAUGUUUUGUAUGGAGAUACGAAGACUACACUUGUAUUUUGGGAUCGUGAAUCCACACAGUUACUAGGGAUUUCUGCUGCCCAACUUCGAAUUAACAUGAUUCAGGUUGGUAUUACAAGCUGACUAGAAUAUCCAAUGCUCAUGGAUAACAUAGGUGGAAAGACUAUGGCUUUUAAGAUCAAAUGGCAGCUAAAAUGGAAAAAAUAUCUGUCGUUUGCUGUAGAGAAGGAGAUGUUUUGGCUAAGUUGGUCAGUUCUAAAUUCCCCGAAGCUGUGGUAUGCCUUAAGUUUCUUUUCAAAUUAGUUUUAUGUCAUUACUUUCAUAGAUACACAUGUCUAACUGCAUUAUUAUAAUCCAUAUGCUAAUAUUAACAACUAUUGAGACCCUUGCCACAUCAUAAAUGUUGUUGUCUAAUUCACGAGAUCAACGACUUACAUGCUGAGUCAGCCGAUGAUGUUGAAAACACUUCUGACAGUCUUACCGUUACGGAAGAGGUCACCAUGUCUGUUGAUGUAUCUGCAACUGCUGAAUACAAUCCGGUCACAUUGAGCCAACUCACCCCAAUGAGUGAUAAGUCUCAAGGAAAGAUCAGCAAUGAUAUGUCUGAUGAUAAAUUCACGCCUUUGAAGAUGUCCAAACCAGUCCUGCCUACUACGACUGCGGCAUAUGAAGAGAUCAUUCCUGCCAAGCAGUCUUCGUCGAAGAGGGUUAAGGUUAUCAAGACUGAAAAGAAGUGAAAUAUGAUCUCUGUUCAUCAUGUUUUAACAAUAUUCCUGAUUAGUCUCUUUAUGCAACCGUUCCACAUAAUGUUGCGAAUUGCUUCCGGCACAACUGAUUGAUCAAAACGUUCUUUAUUGAUCUACCACAA